CACAUCCAAUCCAAUAAAACUACCCAAACUUGCAGUUUCACCCUGACAACAAACUGCUAAUCAUGGCGGCACUUCUCCCUUGCACUCAUUAUUCACCUUCGAAAUUUACAUUUUUACCCUCUAAUUCCUCCGUGACUACUCUCCCUGCCGUCACCUCUUUCCGUCUCCUCGUGAACCACCGUCGUCGUCUUUCUCGCAAUUCCAUUAUAGCCUCCGUCUCCACCAUUGAUUCUCCCUUGCCUUCUUCCACUGACGGCCUAUAUGAGAAGAAAAAGCCUUUGCUUCAAGUCACUGAUUUAACGGCAGAGGUCGCCGAAUCGAGACAGGAAAUUCUCAAAGGAGUUAAUCUCUUGGUCUACGAAGGAGAGAUUCAUGCUAUAAUGGGAAAGAAUGGUUCCGGGAAGAGCACACUUUCUAAGGUUCUUGUUGGGCAUCCAGAUUAUGAAGUCACAGGAGGGAGUGUUGUUUUUAAAGGAGAAAAUUUGCUCGAAAUGGAGCCACAAGAACGCUCACUUGCUGGGUUGUUUAUGAGUUUUCAGUCACCAGUUGAGAUUCCAGGAGUCAACAAUAUUGACUUUCUUCACAUGGCGUACAAUGCUAGAAGAAGAAAACUUGGUGAACCGGAGCUUGGACCCAUUGAGUUCUAUGCUCACAUUUAUCCAAAACUGGAACUUGUGAACAUGAAGACUGACUUCCUUAACAGAAAUGUCAAUGAAGGAUUUAGUGGUGGUGAAAGGAAACGCAAUGAAAUUUUGCAGCUUGCAGUUUUGGGAGCAGACUUGGCCAUAUUAGAUGAAAUUGAUUCUGGAUUAGAUGUUGAUGCUCUUAGAGAUGUAGCAAAAGCUGUGAAUGGGCUUUUGACGCCAAAGAAUUCUGUAUUGAUGAUAACUCAUUAUAGACGGCUUUUGGAAUUUAUAAAACCAACAUUUAUCCAUAUCAUGGAUGAUGGGAAAAUAAUAAAGACAGGGGAUAUCUCCAUAGCACAAGUUCUUGAAGAGGGCGGCUAUAAAGCGAUCUCUGAUGUGUAAUUAUAUGCCAUCUAUUACUGCAAUUAAUCAGUGAUUUCAGCUUCAGAUAUGGGAAGAUGAUAUGUUUCCAACCGUUGAUUAUUGCUUAAAAAAAAAAUAUGCCUGAGAUGAAUUAUCUUCUUCCUCGAAAGAUUAUUGCUUGUAUUAUUUAUCAUGUGGAAGGCAAAUUUGCCGCACACCCUUGUUUCAACAGUAGAAGAAGCUUUUUGACUAAUGCAUUGCAUAUUUAGAGAUGGUAAACCUUUUUGUGUUAGAUGUUUUGAGUUUGUUCAACAUUUUCGGCCCUCUAAAUGUAUUUGAGUUGAUAUUUAUAAUAUAUGUUCUCUUAAGAAGAAAAAAGGAAAUUUAAAUUUAUCUAAA